AUUGAACGCUGGCGGCAGGCUUAACACAUGCAAGUCGAGCGAGCGGCGGACGGGUGAGUAAUGUCUGGGAAACUGCCUGAUGGAGGGGGAUAACUACUGGAAACGGUAGCUAAUACCGCAUACAAUCAGAUGUGCCCAGAUGGGAUUAGCUAGUAGGUGGGGUAAUGGCUCACCUAGGCGACGAUCCCUAGAUGGUCGGAGAGGAUGACCGGCCACACUGGAAAUGAGAACCGGUCCAGACACCUACGGGAGGCAGCAGUGGAGAAUAUUGCACAAUGGGAGCAAGCCUGAUGCAGCCAUGCCGCGUGUAUGAAGAAGGCCUUCGGGUUGUAAAGCACUUUCAGCGAGGAGGCGUUACUCGCAGAAGAAGCACCGGCUAACUCCGUGCCAGCAGCCGCGGUAAUUC
rnacentral:rRNA from 1 species